GACGAACGCUGGCGGCGCGCCUAACACAUGCAAGUCGAACGAGAGAUGAGGAGCUUGCUCUUCAAAUCGAGUGGCGAACGGGUGAGUAACGCGUGAGGAACCUGCCUCAAAGAGGGGGACAACAGUUGGAAACGACUGCUAAUACCGCAUAAGCCCACGGCUCGGCAUCGAGCAGAGGGAAAAGGAGCAAUCCGCUUUGAGAUGGCCUCGCGUCCGAUUAGCUAGUUGGUGAGGUAAUGGCCCACCAAGGCGACGAUCGGUAGCCGGACUGAGAGGUUGAACGGCCACAUUGGGACUGAGACACGGCCCAGACUCCUACGGGAGGCAGCAGUGGGGAAUAUUGCACAAUGGGGGGAACCCUGAUGCAGCGACGCCGCGUGGAGGAAGAAGGGUCUUCGGAUUGUAAACUCCUGUUGUUGAGGAAGAUAAUGACGGUACUCAACAAGGAAGUGACGGCUAACUACGUG
rnacentral:rRNA from 1 species